AUUGAACGCUGGCGGCAGGCUUAACACAUGCAAGUCGAGCGGGGACUUCGGUCCUAGCGGCGAACGGGUGAGGAAUGCUUGGGAAUCUGCCUUGUAGUGGGGGAUAACGUUUCGAAAGGAACGCUAAUACCGCAUACGUCCUACGGGAGAAAGGGGGGGAUCUUCGGACCUCUCGCUAUAAGAUGAGCCCAAGUCGGAUUAGCUAGUUGGUGGGGUAAAGGCUCACCAAGUCGACGAUCCGUAGCUGGUCUGAGAGGAUGAUCAGCCCCACUGGAGCUGAGACACGGUCAAGAAUCCGACGGGAGGCAGCAGUUGGGAAUAUUGGACAAUGGGCGAAAGCCUGAUCCAGCCAUGCCGCGUGUGUGAAGAAGGCUUUCGGGUUGUAAAGCACUUUAAGCGAGGAGGAAUGGCUCUGGGUUAAUACCCUUGAGCAGUGACGUUACUCGCAGAAUAAGCACCGGCUAACUCUGUGCCAGCCGCCGCGGUAA
rnacentral:rRNA from 1 species